AACCUUCUCUUCUAUCAAGUCACAGCUGAGGAUGGUGGGGAGCACAGAAUUGCCUUCCCUCUCCCAGGAACGAGGACCAGGACAUAAAUUGCCAGACACUGAUCACAGACAAAGGACCAACAUUUUCUGAAGGACCUCAUCCAAUGGACACCGUGAGUCUUCAGUGAGCUCUGCAUCAGGCCUCUAUCAUGCUCCAGCUUAUUUCACAGGACCUAUGGCUGACCCAAGUCCUCGGCUUCCCAACCUCAGCUUUCUCAAACAAAAAUGGUUAGAGACACAGGAUGUUUUCCAAAGGCUUUGAGAAUGAGCAUGUCCAGUGAGAUGAGGCUGCUAUUAAAGAGCUGAACACAGGCCAACGCACCUGAAUAUGAUCUAAUGAGCGUAAUGCAACUAGGCAUCUUGGAUGUGUUUAUUAGACAAGUCAUUUAAUGACAGAUCUCCCCAAUAUAUGUGGAUGUUGUCCUUCAUGUUUGUAGAUUUACCUCUAAAAUAAAGGCAGCCUGUUCUUUUGCUCCACCCUUGAAUUACUACUUAAUUCCAAAAAUCACUGUGUUUCACUACUAUGAAAGAGAAGUAUUCUUUCAGUCCUUUCAAUCCUAUUCUCACUCUUGGUAUUUUACUUUUAGAAAGGAUACAGGGAAGAUGUGCUCUUUCACAGGGAUCCUUCACUGUAUAUCAAUAGAUGGCAGUAGUUGAAUUUUCAUAUAAAAAAAACCAUACCUGGAAAAUUGUUGCAAUUGGCUUUUUUUGUAAGAAAGAAUGAAUGUACUCUUUUAUGGGUUAAAAGUAGGGCAACUUCUUUCAUAAAUCAGAUUCAACGUGCAAUUUCCCUUCUUUCUUUCAUUCUCAAAAAUAUUAAGAUCAAAUUACUUAAAACAGUAACACAUUUGCUGGAAGCCAUAAACUGAAAUAUUCCACAUGCUCAACAAGGGAUCAGAAACAAGAAUUGAUUCAGUUCUAUGAAUAUUUCAUCAGAGCCUCUGUGGAAAAUUUUACUCGUGGAAUGGUUAUAAUUAUUCACUUACAAACAGAUCACCAAUAUCUGUACCAUAAUCCUGAUGCAGGAAUUCUCACAUUUCAAAAGGAUUUACUUCUUCUGGAUUUUCCCCAAUUAUUUUCUUAAGAAAAAUACAUGUAUUAUGUUGCCCCCUUGUACGUACGACUUAGUUUAAUUAAUAAUAAAGUCUAUUUGAAAUUG
rnacentral:lncRNA from 7 species